rnacentral:rRNA from 1 species
UACGGAGGGGACUAGCGUUGUUCGGAAUUACUGGGCGUAAAGAGCGUGUAGGCGGCUGGGUAGGUCCGUUGUGAAAACUCGAGGCUCAACCUCGAGACGCCGAUGGAAACCCUCCAGCUAGAGUCCGGAAGAGGAGAGUGGAAUUCCUGGUGUAGCGGUGAAAUGCGCAGAUAUCAGGAAGAACACCUAUGGCGAAGGCAGCUCUCUGGGACGGUACUGACGCUGAGACGCGAAAGCGUGGGGAGCGAACAGG